GUGAGCUAAAGUUCUUUGUUCGAAACAAAGCUUGUCCAGAGGGUUAAUUUGCAAAAUCUUUUUUUAUCGGAUUAAUGCAUGACAUUUUGUUCAAGAUAUCUACACGGUUUCUCCACCAAGCAUAACCAACCAUCAAGGAAUGAUGACAACCCGGAGGACUCUGAAUCUUCAAUAUUUUCACAACAAUCUAUGUUGUUUCCUCCAGUACGGAAACCGUUGGGAAGACCAAUGGCAUACACUUUAACGGAUAAGGAAGCAGCACAAGCCACCACAGAUAUGUGUUGCUCAUCUGUGAUGCUGUGCAGCCAUAUUUGUUGUAAAUGUCAUGCCACUACCUCUUAAUUUGUGAAUUAAUAAGUUUUGAACUGAAAUAGUGGUCUUUGUAUUUUGUAGAGAACAUGGGGCUUAUUUGAGAAGGAAGAAUCGCAAGAAACACAUAGAUCCAAGGACCUUAGAGAAAAUGCAGCAUGAACAAUUUCCUGAAUGGUUCAAGAAUCAUGUGAUGCAGUUGGAGAGGGAGAAAGGUAGUGAUAGCAUCGGUGAGGAAAUUAGAUGGUUGGCCCGUGGUCCACUUGAGGUUGCAACAAAACAUAGAGCAUUCAAUAUUCAAAGGAUACAGAUUUAGACCGAAGCGUUAUGACAAAGUAACUCAAAAUAGUGGAGUUGUUGUGACAGCAAAAACAUCAAGCUACUCUUCUACACGUGAUAGAAAUCCUAUUCUUGGAAAUGUCAUGUACUUUGGAAGGAUUGUGGACAUAGUUGAGUUAGACUAUUUCCGAAAAAAAAUUGUGGUGCUGUUGAAAUGUGAAUGGGUUGAUGCUACUGAAGGAAAAGGUAUGCAAAUAGAUAAGUAUGGGUGUAGACUUGUGAAUUUCUCUAGUCUGACUCUCACUGGUAAAAGGGCAGAGGAUGAACCUUUUGUAUUAGCCAAUCAAAUUGACCAAGUAUUCUACGUGGAUGACCAUCUUUAUCCAGGAUGGUCAAUUGCUUUGAAGAUGAUGCCUCGAGAUUAUUUUGAUAUGGGUGAAGAAUGAAAUGAUGUGGAAACGGAACCUUAUCAUGUUAGUAAAUUCUUUCAGCUUUUUGAUACUGCCCAUCAGAAAAAAUUUGGAUCAGAAGAGAUAUAGAGGGAGAAACUGUAGAUGCUCCUAUAGUGUCGAGUGAUGACACAGUACCUGAAUAAAGGUUUGAUGGAUAAUCAAAAAGUCACCUAUCUGAAUAUGUGGAGCCUAGUUGAAGUGACAAAUUCAUUAGUGUUAUUGCUAUUUUUUUCUUUAAUGUUUAUGUACUUUAUAAUUCAGACAAGAAGAUUUGUAGGUGUGCAUGACUAAAGUGUCAAUACUUGAUCCCAAAUAUGUUGGUUCCACGAACAGCAUAAAAGUUUUAAAUAGGCUGGUUUCACAAACUC